rnacentral:rRNA from 1 species
GGGGAAUAUUGGACAAUGGGCGAAAGCCUGAUCCAGCCAUGCCGCGUGAGUGAUGAAGGCCCUAGGGUUGUAAAGCUCUUUCAACGGUGAAGAUAAUGACGGUAACCGUAGAAGAAGCCCCGGCUAACUUCGUGCCAGCAGCCGCGGUAAUACGAAGGGGGCUAGCGUUGUUCGGAAUUACUGGGCGUAAAGCGCACGUAGGCGGAUUGUUAAGUGAGGGGUGAAAUCCCAGGGCUCAACCCUGGAACUGCCUUUCAUACGGGCAAUCUAGAGUCCGGAAGAGGUGAGUGGAAUUCCGAGUGUAGAGGUGAAAUUCGUAGAUAUUCGGAGGAACACCAGUGGCGAAGGCGGCUCACUGGUCCGGUACUGACGCUGAGGUGCGAAAGCGUGGGGAGCAAAC